rnacentral:rRNA from 1 species
GAUGAACGCUGGCGGCGUGCCUAAUACAUGCAAGUCGAGCGAACAGACGAGGAGCUUGCUCCUCUGACGUUAGCGGCGGACGGGUGAGUAACACGUGGAUAACCUACCUAUAAGACUGGGAUAACUUCGGGAAACCGGAGCUAAUACCGGAUAAUAUAUUGAACCGCAUGGUUCAAUAGUGAAAGACGGUUUUGCUGUCACUUAUAGAUGGAUCCGCGCCGCAUUAGCUAGUUGGUAAGGUAACGGCUUACCAAGGCGACGAUGCGUAGCCGACCUGAGAGGGUGAUCGGCCACACUGGAACUGAGACACGGUCCAGACUCCUACGGGAGGCAGCAGUAGGGAAUCUUCCGCAAUGGGCGAAAGCCUGACGGAGCAACGCCGCGUGAGUGAUGAAGGUCUUCAGAUCGUAAAACUCUGUUAUUAGGGAAGAACAAAUGUGUAAGUAACUAUGCACGUCCUGACGGUACCUAAUCAGAAAGCCACGGCUAACUACGUG